AUUGAACGCUGGCGGCAUGCCUUACACAUGCAAGUCGAACGGUAACAGGUUAAGCUGACGAGUGGCGAACGGGUGAGUAAUGUAUCGGAACGUGCCCAGUCGUGGGGGAUAACUGCUCGAAAGAGCAGCUAAUACCGCAUACGACCUGAGGGUGAAAGCGGGGGAUCGCAAGACCUCGCGCGAUUGGAGCGGCCGAUAUCAGAUUAGGUAGUUGGUGGGGUAAAGGCCUACCAAGCCUACGAUCUGUAGCUGGUCUGAGAGGACGACCAGCCACACUGGGACUGAGACACGGCCCAGACUCCUACGGGAGGCAGCAGUGGGGAAUUUUGGACAAUGGACGCAAGUCUGAUCCAGCCAUGCCGCGUGCGGGAAGAAGGCCUUCGGGUUGUAAACCGCUUUUGUCAGGGAAGAAAAGGGUGUUUCUAAUAAAGAUGCCUCAUGACGGUACCUGAAGAAUAAGCACCGGCUAACUACGUGCCAGCAGCCGCGGUAAAAC
rnacentral:rRNA from 1 species